rnacentral:lncRNA from 1 species
GAUUAAGCAUCUUUCCUUAGGCUAGGAACUGAUUACUGUGCUCACCUGUGACCGCCCAGCUCCCGACAAUCGACUUGCUUCCUGCUACGCCCACCACCGAGCUAGCAGACCACUACCUGCUGUGUCCAUCAAGUCCUGUGCUGACGGGGCAAUCUUUUUUCCAGUUUCAAAUUCUCCAGAGAGAGAAUGUGAUUGGCCCAGCUAGGAAGAGAUAUCAUCCUUGAUCCAAACAGCUGUGACUAUAGGAAGAUUAGCCCUGAGCUAACAUCUGCUGCCAAUCCUCCUCUUUUUGCUGAGGAAGGCUGGCCCUGAGCUAACAUCCGUGCCCAUCUUCCUCUACUUUAUAUGUGGGACGCCUAUCACAGCAUGGCUUUUGCCAAGUGGUGCCAUGUCUGCACUCGGGAUCUGAACCGGCAAACCCCAGGCUGCUGAAGCGGAACCUGCGAACUUAACCACUGCACCACUGGGCCAGUCCCUAAAAAGUAGAAUUCUUAUAGGACAUGAUUUUUGACC